rnacentral:rRNA from 1 species
AAACGAUGCCACCAGCAAUCCGCCUGAGUUCCUUAAAUGACUCGGCGGGCGGCUUCCGGGAAACCAAAGUUUUUCGGUUCCGGGGGAAGUAUGGUUGCAAAGCUGAAACUUAAAGGAAUUGACGGAAGGGCACCACCAGGAGUGGGGCCUGCGGCUUAAUUUGACUCAACACGGGAAAACUUACCCGGCCCGGACACUGGAAGGAUUGACAGAUUGAGAGCUCUUUCUUGAUUCAGUGGGUGGUGGUGCAUGGCCGUUCUUAGUUGGUGGAGUGAUUUGUCUGGUUAAUUCCGAUAACGAACGAGACUCUAGCCUACUAAAUAGACUUGUUGGCUUGUGUGGAAAUUAAACCGUAUUACGGCUGGCAGCUUAGCUUGAGCCUGUGUCUAGCUUGUAAGGUUUGGCAACAGAUCUUGCCUGUUAGGCCAGGCCAGGCGGGUUGUUGGUCGUUUGCGGCGUUUCAAUAAACGCCAACAAGAUGCUUCUUUAGAAGGGGACAGGCGGGCGAUUCAGCCGCCACGAAAACAGGAGCAAUAAACAGGUCUUGUGAUGCCCUUAAGAUGGUCCGGGGCCGCCACGCGCCGCCACCACUUGAAGUUGAUCAGCCGUGCUUAUUUUUAUUUCAAUCCUUGCUUCUUGUCAAGGAGUGGGUAACCCAAUCAACCCUUCCUUCGUGAUUGGGGAUUAGGGGGAUUGUAAUUAUUCCUCUUGGAACGAGGAAUUUCCCAGUAAGCGCGAGUCAUAGCUCGCGUUGAAUACGUCCUGGCUCUUUGUACACACCGCCCGGUCGCUACUACGAUUGGAUGAUUUAGUGAGUCUCAGACGACGACCAGUGUCUCAUGAUGACGGCUGGUUUGAAGAUGCCCAACCUGGAUCAUUAGAGGA